CCCUUAGAUGUUCUGGGCUGCACGCGCGCUACACUGACUGGCUCAGCGUGUGCCUACCCUACGCCGGCAGGCGCGGGUAACCCGUUGAACCCCAUUCGUGAUGGGGAUCGGGGAUUGCAAUUAUUCCCCAUGAACGAGGAAUUCCCAGUAAGUGCGGGUCAUAAGCUUGCGUUGAUUAAGUCCCUGCCCUUUGUACACACCGCCCGUCGCUACUACCGAUUGGAUGGUUUAGUGAGGCCCUCGGAUCGGCCCCGCCGGGGUCGGCCCACGGCCCUGGCGGAGCGCUGAGAAGACGGUCGAACUUGACUAUCUAGAGGAAGUAAAAGUCGUAACA
rnacentral:rRNA from 1 species